rnacentral:rRNA from 1 species
AUUGAACGCUGGCGGCAUGCCUUACACAUGCAAGUCGAACGGCAGCACGGGUGCUUGUCCUUGGUGGCGAGUGGCGCGCGGGUGAGUAAUCCAUCGGUACACGUCCUGUAGUGGGAGAUCGCCCGGAGAAAGGCGGAUAAAUCCCGCAUACGAUGUACGGAAGAGAGGGGGGGCCCUGCACCCCUCGCGCUCUCGGGUUGGUAGAUGGCUGAUUAGCUAGUUGGUGGGGUAAAGGCCUACCAAGGCGACGAUCAGUAGCUGGUCUGAGAGGACGACCAGCCACACUGGGACUGAGACACGGCCCAGACUCCUACGGGAGGCAGCAGUGGGGAAUUUUGGACAAUGGGCGAAAGCCUGAUCCAGCAAUGCCGCGUGUGUGAAGAAGGCCUUCGGGUUGUAAAGCACUUUUGUCCGGAAAGAAAUGCUUUGCGCUAAUACCGUGGGGUGAUGACGGUACCGGAAGAAUAAGCACCGGCUAACUACGUG